rnacentral:rRNA from 1 species
AGGUGGUUUGUCGCGUCGUUAGUGAAAGCCCGGGGCUUAACUCCGGGUCUGCUGGCGAUACGGGCAUAACUUGAGUGCUGUAGGGGAGACUGGAAUUCCUGGUGUAGCGGUGGAAUGCGCAGAUAUCAGGAGGAACACCGAUGGCGAAGGCAGGUCUCUGGGCAGUAACCGACGCUGAGGAGCGAAAGCAUGGGUAGCGAACAGGAUUAGAUACCCUGGUAGUCCAUGCCGUAAACGGUGGGCGCUAGGUGUGGGGGUUUUUCACGACUUCCGUGCCGUAGCUAACGCAUUAAGCGCCCCGCCUGGGGAGUACGGCCGCAAGGCUAAAACUCAAAGGAAUUGACGGGGGCCCGCACAAGCGGCGGAGCAUGUGGAUUAAUUCGAUGCAACGCGAAGAACCUUACCUUGGGCUUGACAUGUACGGGAUCGGCGUAGAGAUACGUUUUCCCUUGUGGCUCGUAUACAGGUGGCGCAUGGUUGUCGUCAGCUCGUGUCGUGAGAUGUUGGGUUAAGUCCCGCAACGAGCGCAACCCUUGUCUUGUGUUGCCAGCACGUGAUGGUGGGGACUCGCGAGAGACUGCCGGGGUUAACUCGGAGGAAGGUGGGGAUGACGUCAAAUCAUCAUGCCCCUUAUGUCCAGGGCUUCACACAUGCUACAAUGGUCGGUACAGUGGGUUGCGAUACCGUGAGGUGGAGCUAAUCCCUUAAAGCCGGUCUCAGUUCGGAUUGGAGUCUGCAACUCGACUCCAUGAAGUCGGAGUCGCUAGUAAUCGCAGAUCAGCAACGCUG